AUUGAACGCUGGCGGCAUGUCUUACACAUGCAAGUCGAACGGCAGCGCGGACUUCGGUCUGGCGGCGAGUGGCGAACGGGUGAGUAAUACAUCGGAACGUACCCUGUUGUGGGGGAUAACUAGUCGAAAGAUUAGCUAAUACCGCAUACGACCUGAGGGUGAAAGUGGGGGACCGCAAGGCCUCACGCAGCAGGAGCGGCCGAUGUCUGAUUAGCUAGUUGGUGGGGUAAAGGCCCACCAAGGCGACGAUCAGUAGCUGGUCUGAGAGGACGAUCGGCCACACUGGGACUGGGACACGGCCCAGGCUCCUACGGGAGGCAGCAGUGGGGAAUUUUGGACAAUGGGGGCAACCCUGAUUCAGCAAUGCCGCGUGUGUGAAGAAGGCCUUCGGGUUGUAAAGCACUUUUGUCCGGAAAGAAAUCGCGCUGGUUAAUACCUGGCGUGGAUGACGGUACCGGAAGAAUAAGCGCCGGCUAACUACGUGCCAGCAGCCGCAGUAA
rnacentral:rRNA from 1 species